rnacentral:rRNA from 1 species
UUUUUUUUUAACAGGUGUUGCAUGGCUGUCGUCAGUUCGUGUUUUGAAAUGUUUGGUUUAUUCCACUAACGAGCGCAAUUCUAAUUUUUUAGUUGAUAUGUUUAUCGUAUUCUAAAAAUACAGCAAAGCUCACUAUUACUUUAUAAUAGUUUUGAGCUUUGAGGAAGGUAUAGAAGUAAGUCAAGUCUGUAUGGCUCUUAUGGAUUGGGCUACAUACGUGCUACAAUGGUAAUUACAAUGAGUUGCAAUUUUGUGAAAAAGCGCUAAUCUAUGAAAAAUUAUCUUUAUCGGAUUAAAUUUUGAAAUUCAAAUUUAUGAAGUUGGAAUCGUCAUUAAUCGCAAAUAAGUAUGUUGCGGUGAAUAUUAAACUAAGUCUAGUACUCACUGCUCGUCACGUUAUGGGAAUUUGCUAUAUUAGAAAUGAAAAGUCAUUUUCAUUUUAAUGUGGAAAAUUAAGGAUAUAUUGUUAAAAGAUUUGUUUUUAGUUUUUAUUAUUUAUUGAAUUUAAACUAGGUAUUAAAGUGUAUGUAGAUAACUGAAACGAAGUCGUAAAC